rnacentral:rRNA from 1 species
CGCACGGCAGGAGACAUACAUACAGAGGCGGGCGGGGGGAGGAGGAGGGAGGAAAGGGGAGGGAACCACCCCGUCCGAGCCGACUUUGGAUCCACCCACCUCCCGACGACGAUCCGGUCGCAAAUCGGAGCUGCCGCCAGCUCCCCUCCCCCCUGCUCCGCUCGCCGAACGGACCCGUUACUUCUACUCGGAUCCCUGAGCUGGUCCGGUUGGCCUAAUACGCGCGCCGGAGCUCGAUCUCGCGCCGGGAGGCUGGCCGAUUGCUGAUUCGGGGCCGGAUUUGGGUGCCGGGCGUGUCGUGGCGUGCGGGUGAGGCGUGCGGGAGCUAGGGUUCCGGCGGGCGGGCGCGCGCGCCGGCGAGAUGACGACCCGGCGGGUGAGGCGGCGCACGUGCAGGGACAAGGGGAAGGGGAAGGAGGUUGUGGAGGACGGGCGGGCGGUGGAGGCGGGCUCAUCGCCGCCGCGGGACUGGGCGCCGGCGGGGGAUGGGGAUGGGGGCGGCGAGGCGGUGGCCGGCGAGGCCGUGGACUGGACGCUGCUUCCGGAUGACACGGUGCUGCAGCUAUUUGGCCGGCUGAGCUACCGCGACCGCGCCAGCUUGGGGGCGACCUGCCAGACGUGGAGGGGGCUCGGGUCGUCGCCGUGCCUGUGGAGCACGCUCGACCUCCGUGCCCACCGUUGCGACGCUGAGGUCGCCUCGUCGCUGGCCUCGCGAUGCGGGGGCCUGCAGCGGCUGCGGCUGCGGGGCCAUGAGGCGGCUGUGGCGGUGGCCUCCGCCCUCGGCGCCCGCGACCUCCGAGAGGUGGUGGCCGAGGGCUGCAGGGGACUCACUGACGCCACCCUUGCAGUCCUCGCCGCUCGACACGAGGCGCUGGAGAGCCUCCAGAUCGGUCCAGACCCCCUUGAGCGCAUCUCCAGCGACGCCGUCCGCCAUGUCGCUCUUUGCUGCUCCCGCCUCCGUCGCCUCCACCUCUCGGGUCUCCGUGAAGUUGACUCUGAUGCCAUAGGAGCGCUGGCGCGCUACUGCCCCCUCCUUGAGGACGUCGCCUUGCUCGACUGUGGCACUGUAGAUGAGGCUGCCCUUGGUGACAUCCACUCCCUCCGAUUCCUCUCUAUAGCAGGAUGCUACAACGUGAAGUGGGCUACAGCAUCCGCCUCAUGGGCCCAGCUUCCCUUGCUAGUCGCCGUCGACGUCUCCCGCACUGAUGUCUCUCCAAAUGCUGUCGCUCGUCUAAUCUCCCACUCCAAAACCCUCGAGCUUAUAUGUGCUCUUAACUGCAAAUUCGUCGAAGAGGAACAAGCACACAGUCCCACUGCAUUUAGCAACUCCAAGGGCAAGCUUGUGCUUACCAUCACAUGCCCCAUUUUUAAAUCACUCGCUUCACUGUUUCCUGGCGAGGCUGUGGAGGAGCACGGCGUGUUCAAUGAGUGUAAUUGGAGGAACAAAAGGAAAAUACUUGGUGUCAUGAUGAACUGGCUCGAGUGGGUCCUAUCACAGUCGCUUCUUCGGAUUGCGGAGUGCAAUCCAUAUGGCAUGGAUGACUUCUGGUUGCAGCAGGGCACAUCAAUGCUGCUGAGCCUGGUGAAGAGCUCACAGGAGGAUGUGCAGGAGCGUGCAGCUACAACAAUUGCUACAUUUGUGGUUAUUGACGAUGAAACUGCGAAUGUGGAUGCUGCAAGGUCGGAGGCGGUAAUGCGGGAUGGAGGCAUUCCACUUCUGCUGGACCUUGCAAGGUGCUCAAGGGUGAGUGCACAGUCUGAAGCAGCAAAGGCUAUUGCCAACCUAUCGGUGAAUGCAAAGGUUGCAAAGGUGGUUGCAGAUGAAGGAGGUAUCGCCAUUUUCACUAAUUUGGCUAAGUCGACGAAUCGACUUGUUGCUGAAGAAGCUGCUGGUGGCCUUUGGAAUCUCUCCGUGGGUGAGGAGCACAAGGCGGCUAUUGCGGCAGCUGGUGGUAUAAAGGCUUUGGUUGAUCUUAUAUUUCGUUGGCCUGCUGGGACUGAUGGAGUUCUUGAACGUGCUGCUGGUGCGCUUGCAAACCUAGCUGCUGAUGACAAGUGCAGCCUGGAAGUCGCAAAGGCUGGUGGUGUCCAUGCUUUGGUUACACUUGCUCGAUCAUGUAAACUUGAGGGCGUCCUAGAACAGGCGGCAAGGGCUCUAGCCAACUUAGCUGCACAUGGAGAUAACAACAACAAUAAUGCGGCUGUAGGUCAGGAAGCAGGGGCUCUUGAGGCAUUAGUGCAACUAACAUGUUCUCAAAACGAGGGUGUAAGGCAAGAGGCUGCUGGUGCUUUGUGGAACCUAUCAUUUGAUGAUAGGAAUCGUGAAGCUAUUGCUGCUGCGGGGGGUGUUGAAGCAUUGGUUUCACUUGCACAACAAUGUCUGAAUGCUUCGGAAGGCCUUCAGGAGAGAGCUGCUGGCGCAUUAUGGGGACUAUCUGUCUCAGAAUCGAACAGCAUCGCAAUUGGGCAGGAGGGUGGCGUUGCACCAUUGCUCACAAUGGCACAGUCAGAGGUUGAAGAUGUUCAUGAGACAGCUGCAGGGGCAUUGUGGAAUCUUGCUUUCUAUUCCAGCAAUGCUCACCGUAUAGUUGAAGAAGGUGGGGUGCCUAUCCUUGUGCACCUUUGCUCAUCAUCAGGGUCAAAGAUGGCUCGGUUCAUGUCUGCGCUAGCCCUUGCCUAUAUGUUUGAUGGAAGAAUGGAUGAGGCCGCCAUUGUUGGGACAUCGUCUGAGGGCAGUUCCAAAGGUGUUAACGUCGAGGGAGCUAGAAGAAUGGCUUUGAAGCAUAUAGAGACCUUUGUGUUGACGUUUUCAGAUCCACAGGUGUUCUCUAUGGCUGCAGCUUCCUCAGCACCAGCAGCGCUAUCUCAGGUUGCCGAAGCAGUGUUCAUACAAGAAGCUGGACACCUGAGAUGCAGUGGUGCUGAGAUAGGUAGAUUUAUUGCCAUGCUUCGGAAUCCUACACCAGUUCUUCGUGCGUGUGCCGCAUUUGCCCUUCUUCAGUUCUCAAUCCCGGGAGGUCGACAUGCAACACACCAUGCGGACCUUCUGCAAAAUGUAGGAGCGGCUCGGGUCUUGCGUGCAGCGGCGGCAGCAACAUCAGCUUCCAUUGAGGCCAAAGUGUUCGCCAGAAUUGUCCUUAGGAAUCUGGAACACCAUCAGGCAGGGACUUCAACCUGAAAACACAAUGGCGAGCACAAGCGCGACUAAUUCUCCAACAGGGUAUGACUUCUAACCUUUGGCCCCAGAAUGGAUGCAAACUCGCGGUUAAGUUGUCGCCGGCAUUUGAAGCUGCCGCGCAAGCUGUGACCUUGGAACUUCCACCUUGAGGAGAACUGUCAGAAGAGAUGAAUGAACGUUCAACCGGCAGCUGUUGAGUGUGCAAUUUUCCUGUUGUUUGUCUGAUGUGUAAAAGUAACUUAAAAAGUGUUAGCGUUAGCAUCGGCAGGACGUAGAGAACUUUUAUGGUAUAUAGAAAGUUAAGAGUGUUUGUUAUCGGUUGAUUUAAUUUAACAAGGUGAGCGGCAGCGGGUGACAUUGUUAGGCUGCUCCACCUGUCGCAUACAUGUAAAACUUUGUAGAUGUAUACUGCUUUGUUAUAUGAACGUCCCGUGGAUAUGUGCUCCUGUGCUUUGUGCAAAUUAAACGCGCC